AGUGAACGCUGGCGGCAUGCCUAACACAUGCAAGUCGAACGGCAGCACAGUAAGUGCUUGCUCUUACGGGUGGCGAGUGGCGGACGGGUGAGGAAAACAUCGGAAUCUACUUUUUCGGGGGGGAUAACGUAGGGAAACUCACGCUCAUACCGCAUACUACCUACGGGUGAAAGCAGGGGAUCUUCGGACCUUGCGCGAUUGAUUGAGCCGAUGUCGGAUUAGAAAGUUGGCGGGGUAAAGGCCCACCAAGGCGACGAUCCGUAGCUGGUCUGAGAGGAGGAGGUGCCCCACUGGAAUUGGACUGCGGCACAGCCUCGUCUGGGAGGCAGCGGUGGGGAAUGUUGGUCUAGGGGCGGAAGCCUGAUCCAACCGUGCCGCGUGGGUUAAGAAGGCCUUGCGGUUGUGAUGCCAUUUUGUUGGGAAAGAAAAGCAGGAUGUUAAUACCACGCCGUUGUGACGGUACCCAAAGAGUAAGCACCGGCUAACUUCGUG
rnacentral:rRNA from 1 species